GGGGAAUAUUGCACAAUGGGCGAAAGCCUGAUGCAGCGACGCCGCGUGAGGGAUGACGGCCUUCGGGUUGUAAACCUCUUUCAGUAGGGAAGAAGCGAAAGUGACGGUACCUGCAGAAGAAGCGCCGGCUAACUACGUGCCAGCAGCCGCGGUAAUACGUAGGGCGCAAGCGUUAUCCGGAAUUAUUGGGCGUAAAGAGCUCGUAGGCGGUUUGUCACGUCUAUCGUGAAAGUCCGAGGCUCAACCUCGGAUCUGCGGUGGGUACGGGCAGACUAGAGUUAUGUAGGGGAGACUGGAAUUCCUGGUGUAGCGGUGAAAUGCGCAGAUAUCAGGAGGAACACCGAUGGCGAAGGCAGGUCUCUGGGCAUUAACUGACGCUGAGGAGCGAAAGCAUGGGGAGCGAAC
rnacentral:rRNA from 1 species